GGCCUUUUGAGUAUAAUUUAAGGUCGGGCCUGCCCAAUGAUUAAUUAAAUGGCCGCGGUAUAUUGACCGUGCAAAGGUAGCAUAAUCAUUAGUUUUUUAAUUGAAAGCUUGUAUGAAGGGUUUAAUGAAAAAAAUACUGUCUCUAUUUAAAUUUAUUAAAAUUUUAUAUUUAAGUUAAAAAGCUUAAAUUUGUAUUGAAGACGAGAAGACCCUAUAGAGUUUAAUAUUUCAUAUGAAAAUAAAGUAUUAAGGAUUUUAAAUAAUUUUUAUAUAAAGUAUUUAAUUGGGGUGAUUGAAAAAUUAGUUUAACUUUUUUUGUAUUUUUAUAUUGAUUAAUAAAUUUGAGAUCCUUUUUAAGAUUAAAAGAUAAAAUUACCUUAGGGAUAACAGCGUAAUUUUUUUUAGAGUUCUUAUCGAAAGAAAAGAUUGCGACCUCGAUGUUGGAUUAAAAUUAAUCAUUGGUGUAGAAGCUAAUGAACUAGGUCUGUUCGACCUUUAAAUUUUUACAUGAUCUGA
rnacentral:rRNA from 1 species